UACGUAGGGGGCUAGCGUUGUCCGGAAUCAUUGGGCGUAAAGAGCGUGUAGGCGGUCCGGUAAGUCCGCUGUGAAAGUCGGGGGCUCAACCCUCGAAUGCCGAUGGAUACUGUCGGGCUAGAGUACGGAAGAGGCGAGUGGAAUUCCUGGUGUAGCGGUGAAAUGCGCAGAUAUCAGGAGGAACACCUAUUGCGAAGGCAGCUCGCUGGGACGUAACUGACGCUGAGACGCGAAAGCGUGGGGAGCAAACAGG
rnacentral:rRNA from 1 species